CCUACGGGGGGCAGCAGUGGGGAAUAUUGGACAAUGGGCGAAAGCCUGAUCCAGCCAUGCCGCGUGUGUGAAGAAGGCCUUCGGGUUGUAAAGCACUUUCAGUGGGGAAGAAAGCCUUGGGGCUAAUACCCUCGAGGAAGGACAUCACCCACAGAAGAAGCACCGGCUAACUCCGUGCCAGCAGCCGCGGUAAUACGGAGGGUGCGAGCGUUAAUCGGAAUUACUGGGUGUAAAGCGCGCGUAGGCGGUCUGAUAAGCCGGUUGUGAAAGCCCCGGGCUCAACCUGGGAACGGCAUCCGGAACUGUCAGGCUAGAGUGCAGGAGAGGAAGGUAGAAUUCCCGGUGUAGCGGUGAAAUGCGUAGAGAUCGGGAGGAAUACCAGUGGCGAAGGCGGCCUUCUGGACUGACACUGACGCUGAGGUGCGAAAGCGUGGGUAGCAAACAGGAUUAGAUACCCCAGUAGUC
rnacentral:rRNA from 1 species